rnacentral:rRNA from 1 species
AGCACAUAAGCAAAAUAAGGGCGUAUGGGGAAUGCCUAGGCUCUCAGAGGCGAAGAAGGACGUGAUAAGCUGCGAAAAGCUGCGGGGACGGGCACACACCGAUUGAUCCGCAGAUAUCCGAAUGGGGCAACCCACUAUGUUGAAGACAUAGUAUCCGAUAGGAGGCAAACCCGCUGAACUGAAACAUCUAAGUAGGCGGAGGAGAAGAAAACAAAAGUGAUUCCGCAAGUAGUGGCGAGCGAACGCGGAAUAGCCCAAACCAAUGUUGUUACGGCAAUAUUGGGGUUGUAGGACCACGAUAUUUCUUGCGGCUUUAAUUAGAAUCAUUUGGAAAGAUGAACCGAAGAGGGUGAUAGUCCCGUAUAAGUAAGAAAAGAUAAGAAUAGUGGUAUCCUGAGUAGGUCGGGACACGAGAAAUCCUGAUUGAAUCCGGCGGGACCAUCCGCCAAGGCUAAAUACUCCUGAGAGACCGAUAGUGAACCAGUACCGUGAGGGAAAGGUGAAAAGAACCGUGAAUAACGGAGUGAAAUAGAUCCUGAAACCAUACGCUUACAAGCGGUCGGAGCCCUUUAGUGGGGUGACGGCGUGCCUUUUGCAUAAUGAGCCUACGAGUUACCGUUGCUGGCAAGGAUAAGGACUUCAGGUCUGGAUCCGUAGCGAAAGCGAGUCUGAAUAGGGCGCUUUAGUCAGUAGUGGUAGACGCGAAACCGUGUGAUCUACCCAUGGGCAGGUUGAAGUUUAGGUAACACUAAAUGGAGGACCGAACCGUCAAACGCUGAAAAGUUUUCGGAUGACCUGUGGGUAGGGGUGAAAGGCCAAUCAAACUCGGAAAUAGCUCGUACUCCCCGAAAUGCAUUUAGGUGCAGCGGUAUAUUAGUUAUAUAGAGGUAGAGCUACUGAUUGGAUGCGGGGGCUUCACCGCCUACCAAUUCCUGACAAACUCCGAAUGCUAUAUAAUGAUUUAU